rnacentral:rRNA from 1 species
GACGAACGCUGGCGGCGUGCUUAACACAUGCAAGUCGAACGGAAAGGCCCUGCUUUUGUGGGGUGCUCGAGUGGCGAACGGGUGAGUAACACGUGAGUAACCUGCCCUUGACUUUGGGAUAACUUCAGGAAACUGGGGCUAAUACCGGAUAGGAGCUCCUGCUGCAUGGUGGGGGUUGGAAAGUUUCGGCGGUUGGGGAUGGACUCGCGGCUUAUCAGCUUGUUGGUGGGGUAGUGGCUUACCAAGGCUUUGACGGGUAGCCGGCCUGAGAGGGUGACCGGCCACAUUGGGACUGAGAUACGGCCCAGACUCCUACGGGAGGCAACAGUGGGGAAUAUUGCACAAUGGGCGGAAGCCUGAUGCAGCAACGCCGCGUGCGGGAUGACGGCCUUCGGGUUGUAAACCGCUUUCGCCUGUGACGAAGCGUGAGUGACGGUAAUGGGUAAGGAAGCACCGGCUAACUACGU